rnacentral:lncRNA from 1 species
UCCUUCCAUCCAAUCACCGCACCGCCCCCAACCUCCUCUCUCUCUCUCUUCCUUUCUCCUCCGCAUCGCUCGCCCAAAUCCAAUCUCUUUUGCCUCGUUGACGAGAUAGCAUAGCUCCGAUUAUUAUGACGAGACUAAUUACUGCAGUAAUUCGCAGUGAUCAGGAAGUGAGCCGAACAAAAGCCUUGGAGUAGCUGAUGAGAUGAGAUUGAUAGAAUUAAUUAAUUGAUUGAUCUCUUCUUGACGAGCAAACGAUUCGCUAGGUCGUAGUAGUAGUAAUAAUGGUGACAAUAGUGGUGGUAAUACAUCGAGCCUCUCGGGGGGAAAAAAUGCCAAAACCAGAGGCGUUGAUCUCUCUCUCUCUCUCUACUCUUCUCUGCGUCUUCUUCCUCCUCGGGAGGAGGAGGAGGAGGAGGAGAUCGCAGCGAGUAGUAGUAGUGGUAGCAAACAGGGGGGGAAGGAAUCGUGGAAUCCGUACUAGUCCUGGAAGCCGGUCUUCUCCCAGAUGGCGUUGCGGACGCGGCGGAGGUCGCGGCCCUUGAGGGUGCGGCCGGCGCCCUCGCGGACGGAGAAGGAGGCGGAGGCGCGCUCGCGGCAGAGGAGGAGCUCGUGGGGNN